GAUUUCAAAGUCUGUUUACAGCCCAUUAUAAUUAAUUGAGCUGGAAAUAAAGUUAGGCAUCGCGAGAAUCAUACUCGUGUCGUGAGAAUAAAGUUAUGAAACAAGAAUACAAACAAAUAAACAAUGUCUAGAAAAGAGAGAGAGGAGUUCACGGGAGAAGAAGAGGAAGAAGAUACAGCCAGAAAAAUAGCAUCACCCGUGAGACAUGUCCUUUUCGUUAUGUUUGCUCAUCUACAAACAUUGGUAGUUUCACACUGCAACUUUCCAAUUUUGAAAAGUCUAAGUACUCUUCUAAAACCAUGAUUUAACUAAAUAAAGAAAAAGUGUGUCACAAAAACAAAACCUGAUAUUAGUAAGUAAAGUCAAUAAAUUUUCAAAAAUGCUGACAGUGGCCAGUGGGCAUGGGAAUUAAAUGCAUAUGAGAAAAUUACAUUUUAUCAUAAAAAAAAAAAAAGGAAAAGCAUAUGGAGAUGGGGGUGGAUUUGAUAUGGUUGGGGUAAUGUCUCUUGAUUCUAGUACAAUACCAUUUAUAUCAAGAAAUUGUUCUGUAUAAAAUGAGCAUUAUAACAUCUGCCUGAACUUACAGCCGCCGGCUUUGCUCCUCCUCUGGCCGGCGCGUGACGGCUCCGUUAGCGUCACCGUCGGUCCAGUCCGAGUGUUUUCUUCUUCUAUUGUAGUUUGUGUGGUCAGUUUUCUGGGUAGCUUCGGAUCAGAACAAAGGAGAGGUUCCGGGUCGAAGAGUUCGUGAAUCGUUAUUCUGGUGGUUCUGAACUGGCGGGUUGGAGUUCGUUGUUGAUUUAUCAUGGUGGAUUCUGCUGGGUUUUAGCCCUAUGUCCCUCUUCGUCAGUUUCUGUUUUGAUCAUCUUGCCUGCGUUUGAAUCCGAUUAAUUGUGCUUGGAGUGUAGAGUUUUUCUUAGUUGAUCUUUGAUUCAGCUACGGUGAAGCAGCGGCGUGACGUGGGAUGAGCAGUUGGUUGGUAUUGUGGUCGAGGAGAAGCUGGUUUCAGGACACCUCUCCAUCUCCCUGUUGCUAAAGAGGUUAAGGCUUUGAAGUGUCCAGAUGAAGGGUAUGUUGAGUAGGGGGUUUAAUUUGUAUCGGGUGUUGCUUCUCUUUGGGUGUUAUUUUGGUUUCGCAAAGUGGUUUGUGUGUAGUCAUCGUGAACGAGUGGUUCAGAUGAGGGUGCUGCUAUUCUUCUUGAAGUCCUCUGUGGUGCGUGCUCUCUUGCUCUCUGUUCGUAGCAAGAAGACCGGCUAGUCGUAGUCAAUUAAAUUCUUGUUCUAUUAUCUCUUGUUAGCUUGUUUCUUGGAUUCUCUUAGCAAGGUGUAGUUAUGGUUUAUUUGAUUGUUUAGCUGCUCGUGUCCUAUCCUUUUGAGCUUAAGUUUCCCACUGUUGUGAUUUCGUUUCCGGAGAUCCGUAUGUGUUCUGCCGGAUUUAGUGUUUCAUCAUGUAUCUUUCUAUGUUAUCAAUGAAAUUCUUCAUAU